GACGAACGCUGGCGGCGUGCUUAACACAUGCAAGUCGAACGGAAAGGCCCUGCGUGUGUGGGGUGCUCGAGGGGCGAACGGGUGAGUAACACGUGAGUAACCUGCCCUUGACUUUGGGAUAACUUCAGGAAACUGGGGUUAAGACCGGAUAGGAGCUCCUGCUGCAUGGUGGGGGUGGGAAAGUUGCGGCGGGUGGGGAUGGACGCGCGGCUUAUCAGCUUGUUGGUGGGGUAGUGGCUUACCAAGGCGUUGGCGGGUAGCCGGCCGGGGAGGGUGCCCGGCCACCUGGGGCCUGCGGUACGGCCCAGACUCCAACGGGGGGCAGCGGUGGGGAAUAUUGCCCAAUGGGCCGAAGCCUGUUGAGGAAACGCCGCGGGCGGGAUGCCGGCCUUCGGGUUGAAAACCGCUUUAGCCUGUGACGAAGCGUGAGUGACGGUACUGGGUGAAGAAGCACCGGCUAACUACGUG
rnacentral:rRNA from 1 species